ACGGCCGAGUGGUGUGGGACCCG
rnacentral:piRNA from 1 species